rnacentral:RNase_P_RNA from 1 species
GUACCGUACCGGACAGCUGCGCUGCAUAAGCCGAAAGGUAUUGCGGUGAGGAAAGUCCGGGCUUCACAGGGCAAGGAUAACAGAUAACGUCUGCCGAGGGUGACCUUAGGGAAAGUGCAACAGAAAAUUACCGCUGUGCUCUGCACAGUAAGGAUGAAAAGGCGAGGUAAGAGCUCACCGGCGCACUGGAGACUUUGCGGCCGUGUAAACCCUAUCCGAAGCAACACCGUUUGCGGAGCGUCGCUUUUUGUGACAAUGCGCCCUGCAUAUCCGCGGGUGGCAAAGAACUUUAUGGCAACAUAAAGUCAAGAUAGAUAGCUGUCUCGGCUGAUAAGCUAUGACAGAACCCGGCUUAUAGGUACGGUACUAUU